GAGACUAGGAAAUAGUUGGUAUCAUCUGUUGCAUUGUUGGAGGAUUCCUUACCUAAAUACCCAGUGUUCAUUUUCUCGCUGCUUCCAAGAAUAGAGAUGGGCACAAAAUAAAAUGAGCAGCAGGCAAAAGUUUAUUAGAGUUUAAGAUCAGAAAAUAAGAAUAGUAUGAAAGUUCUCUUUACAGAGAGGGGUCAUUUGAAAGCGAAUGCCCACGACAAUAGGCAAGGGAUUCUGUUUUACAGGGUUUUGCUGGCUGCUGGGUCCUUCUCAGGUUGCACCCUUGUUGGCUAGGCAACUACAUGCCGAGUCAUUCCUUUCUGAUUGGCUCGUUUCCAUCGUAUAAGUGGUGGUCUCUGGCCAUACCUUUCUGUGUGGGUCAUACGUUUUACAAUCCAGUCAUUUUUAGUCAGGUCUUUUGUCACAUUCCUGAGGGAAACCUAAGGGGACGUAGAUGGUGUCUGUCACAUUCUCAAGAGGAACUUUACCUGUGAUAGAGUUUGCUCAAGGUCAGACUUUCCCAGAAGAAAUGUUUUAAAAUAUGUGUUCCCCACCCCCCCCCCUCCAGAAGCCCUAGCCUUUCCCUUUCUGCCUCCUGAAUCCUAUCUUCCCCUAUCAUACCAUAUUCCCUUCCUCUGCCUCUUCUUUUCAUGCAUCUCAAUCUCCUGGUCCAUCUCUGUCUCUCCUUCUACCCUACUGCUUUCCUUUAAGUUCCUCCCUCUGGCUCUUUUCUGAUUCUGGCCCUUUGUUCGUGCUAUUCUCUGUGGUUGGCAUGCUUUCCUCCUGUCUCCAUCACAAUGCUGAUUAUACCUCAGGUGUUUCCUUAGAAAUCACCCUCUCAUAGAUGUGCUUUCCCUGGAUACUUGCUCCUAACAGCUCUUGCCACAUUGUUUUUUGUUAUGCAUAUCUGUUCAUCUCCUUCAUGCCUCUGUUUUCCUUGACUACUGUAACAGAUUUAGUCUGCAGUGGCACAGGAUAUAAUCCAUAUCUGACAACUUCACCUGAAAACUUGCUGGCCGACCGUCUGUCCUCAGUGACAUUCUGAGAUUCCUCAACUCCGAGCAAGAUGCUUGGGAGCAAAGCAGAAAAUAUCUUACAGUGUGAUCGGUUCUGUUCUCUCCAUCUGGAGCUAGCCUACAGGUUGAUUAUAUUUGAAUAUAUUUAACAUAACAUUAAAAUGGCACACAUCAUUUUGACUGGAAGUUUCACUCUUUUGCCAGCUCUCAUAUUUACUCCUUGUAUUUUUCCCUUUUAGUUCCAUUCUCUUCCGCUACAAAGAUGAAAUGUUUAACCCUAAAAGUGGAAAUCAAUCAUUAUGAAUCUGUUUCUUCCCACCAUCCAUUGCUUUUCUUUUUUUUAAUCUUUUUAAAAUAGUUUUUAACUUAUUUAUUUUGAGAGAGAAAAAGUGUGAGCAGGGGAGGGGCAGAGAGAGAGAGAGAGAAUCCCAAGCAGACUCUGCACUGUUAGCACAGAGUUUGAUGUGGGCUCGUAGUCACAAACCGUGAGAUCAUGACCCGAACAGAAACCAAGAGUCAGACACUUAACCGACUGACUCCCCGCAGGUGCCCCUCCAUUGCUUUUCUUUUGCAAAAUAGUUUUGCAUUUUCUUUUGCC
rnacentral:lncRNA from 1 species